AAACCUAAGAAACCACCACUCACUCACUCUCACGUUGUAGCUACUCAACUUCAAACACCUAAAAAUCACUUCGUUCUUCUCUUGUGUUCAACCGUGUUCUGUUGCCACCACCGCAUCUUCGCCGGUGUUAUGUUGCCGCAAUCUCGCCGGAGCCUAGCGUUGUGGUCUUCUUCAUCUUCACACUUCAACUCAGGCUUCUUGCUACCCGAAACAGGAACUUCAAGGAAAUCACCACCUUUUGCUUUGAUUGCUUGUAGAAAGAAGGUUUUUCAGUCGCAAUUAACACAAACAAACAAAAUUGGCCCAAGAUGAGAACCUUUUCCUAGAAAACAUUCUACGGCUGCUACUUCAAGAAUUUGUGGUAUGUUAAACUGUUGCCCGUGUUUAUAGAUUGUUCUUUUUUAUUAUUUUCAGGUUUGGAAAUUCUGGCAUUCCCAUGCAAUCAGUUUGGGGCACAGGAGCCUGGAUCUCUUGAAGAGAUACAAGACUUUGUCUGUACUCGCUUCAUAGCAGAUUU